UACGAAGGGGGCAAGCGUUGUUCGGAAUUACUGGGCGUAAAGGGCGCGUAGGCGGUGCUCUAAGUCGGAUGUGAAAACUCUGGGCUCAACCCAGAGCCUGCAUCCGAAACUGGAGUGCUAGAGUUCUGGAGGGGGUAGCGGAAUUCCUGGUGUAGCGGUGAAAUGCGUAGAUAUCAGGAGGAACACCGGUGGCGAAGGCGGCUACCUGGACAGAAACUGACGCUGAGGCGCGAAAGCUAGGGGAGCAAACAGG
rnacentral:rRNA from 1 species